rnacentral:rRNA from 1 species
UACAGAGGGUGCGAGCGUUAAUCGGAAUUACUGGGCGUAAAGCGCACGUAGGCGGAUGUGUCAGUCAGGGGUGAAAUCCCGGAGCUCAACUUCGGAACUGCCUUUGAUACAGCACGUCUUGAGUCCGGAAGAGGUGGGUGGAAUUCCUAGUGUAGAGGUGAAAUUCGUAGAUAUUAGGAAGAACACCGGUGGCGAAGGCGGCCCACUGGUCCGGUACUGACGCUGAGGUGCGAAAGCGUGGGGAGCAAACAGG